CAGGGUGAGGUGUAACGGGUGCAUCCCUGGCUUGGAACCAGGGGGUAGCAGGUUCAACUCCUGCCGCCCUGA
rnacentral:tRNA from 1 species